GUAAUGAAUCUGAGGAUCGAAGGAUGUAGUUGCGCCAAUGAGAGGAUGUCAAACUGAGGAUUCCGCCUCACGCUUUUAAACCGUCCCACAGGAAACAUGCUGUCUGCGUCGGACACCGGAGCAGAAUCAGAGCUCUCGGAGCCCAGAGACGAAUCCACUGAGCCUUCAUCAAACGUCUGCGAAUGCCUCGCUCAGGAGAGAAGCACCGAAUCGGACCGUUUGAAGCCUUCAUCGUCAUCCAGCUGUUGGUCCAUGUGUUCCCAGCCUGCACCAAAGGACGAUGAUUUCAGGGUGUGCCGGUGUUUCGGCUCAUCGGAACCUGCGUUCCCUCGUUUACCUCACUUCUCUCGUGACCUUAUUUCAGCUGUAUCUGAGUCUUUUUCCGAGUUACGCCAUAAUCGAAACACAGCGGCCUCCUCUUCUCUCACACAAGGAGGUGUUACACCUCAACCUUUUGGGGCCAUGUCAUCUGCUUCGCAGGGUUUGAUGGAGCCAUUUGUCACUGAGCCUCUUUCCAGCUCUGAACACAGUCCAGAACCGUAUCUAUUGAGUUCGUUUUCACCUCAGUCCGACAGCUUGGAGCGUCAUUCAGCUACAGCGCCUCUUCCAGAACUUUACAUCUCUGAAAGUGAGACGCAGGACUUCAUCCUGAGCCCUCACCAAGAUCCCCGGGAAUUUCAAUGGCCCGAAUACCACCAGUGGGAAGCGGGGGGGCGAAACGCCGACUGCCAUACACAUCAUUUCCCGAUGCGCGAUUCAGACAACGAGGUGACGCGAUGUCGUCUCGGCUCCAGACGAGAGGAACGAGCCACGCUGGACUGUGAGUCAGACGCGAGAGCACCUGCUGCGGCAGCCUGUGCGGAAGCCUUGGUGCCGGUAAAUGACGAGAGGCCAGGGCAUGCACAGACCACUGACUUGACCCCCCAACCACAGCAAAGCCCCAGCCCCGUCGAGCUGUGGCUGGAUGCAUGCCAGUAUCUGGCAGGUGAGGAUACGGAGGACCUGAACGUUUUGGACAAGGCGAGGUAUUCCGUGAUCCAAGGAGGCCUCGCCAGGGACUCGUCUUUCCCCCCGGGGGACACAAAGGUGUCAGGUUACAACCUUGACGAUAGCGAGGGGAUUGGCUGGUCCAGCGAUGACACCAUAUGUUGGGGGCCACCGGUUGAGAGGUGGUCAUCCGUGGACAGCUGGGCCAGCGCACUCUCAGACUGGAGCGGGAUUAUCGCGGCUCCGCCGGAGGACUUCGCGGCUGCCUUCACAGAGAUAGGGGCAGAGAUAGAUGCUCUGACACAGGCGCUAGCUGAGGUAAACACUCAUUUAGAAACAGACCCCCCCAAAGAAGACAAGGGUCAAGGGCCAGCAGUCAGGGCGCAAUCACAGCCACCCAUGGGCCUCCAGGAUCAGCAUUUAGAGGCGCAAAACCCGACCGAGAGCUCCAUCCUCUCUGGGCAGAGCUGUCGCUCCUCGUGCCCGGAGGCUGCAGGACCCGAGCUCGGAGACAGAGAGAGAUGUCAGAGCGUCGAAUCGUUGUGCGAUUCGACAGCCGGCGCCCAGGACGAAAAGGAGGCGGAAGAAAUCCAGAACAUCCGGGUUGAGCGCUCGGCGCACCGGCGCUCUUCCGCCGGGUCAUCCUGGGAGACCGUGGCCGCUCCCGGAGGAGGCGGCGCAGAGGUGAUCCCUGGAUCCACUCCUUCCGCUGAUCUGAACCCUCCUCGAUUUGGCGAGCCAGACCGUUUCUUCAACAACAAAGUAGUUUCCAUCCUACUGAAUAUAGUAGAAGAUACCGAUUUGGAGGGACGAGAUACACCUGGAGAUCUGAUGAUUGAGAAGUUGCGCCGGCCAACGGAUAAAUCAGUCAUGCGCUUUGGAAACAUGUCCAGAACGUUAAGAGACAUUCCCGCUCCUGCCCUUGUCGGUGUUGACAUACCUACAGCAUUGACUGACAGCGGGCAGCCCUUUGGAGAUGAAGUGUGUGAAGUGACAGACAAACACAGUGUCUCCCGGCCGCGCUGGUUGACUGAGCGGGAAGUCGAAAGGAGCCGCGGGCCAGCUGAGGUUGAUCGGGAAGGAACUCUUCGUUUUCACGCCACGCGCGCUUCGGCAAACUCACACGUGCCAGGUCUGUAA
ensembl:lncRNA